GACGAACGCUGGCGGCGUGCUUAACACAUGCAAGUCGAACGGUGAAGGGACCAGCUUGCUGGUUCUGGAUGAGUGGCGAACGGGUGAGUAACACGUGAGUAACCUGCCCCCUUCUCCUGGAUAACCGCAUGAAAGUGUGGCUAAUACGGGAUAUUCUGGGUCUGUCGCAUGGCGGGCCCGGGAAAGCUAUUGUUUCGGUGGGGGAUGGGCUCGCGGCCUAUCAGCUUGUUGGUGGGGAGAUGGCCUACCAAGGCGGUGACGGGUAGCCGGCCUGGGAGGGUGGACGGUCACACUGGGACUGAGACACGGCCCAGACUCCUACGGGAGGCAGGAGUGGGGAAUAUUGCGCGAGGGGCGCAAGCCUGAUGCAGCGACGCCGCGUGAGGGAUGGAGGCCUUCGGGUUGUAAACCUCUUUCGCCAGUGAAGCAGGCCUGGUCCUUGUGGGUGGGUUGACGGUAGCUGGAUAAGAAGCGCCGGCUAACUACGUG
rnacentral:rRNA from 1 species